UACCAUGGUGGUAACGGGUAACGGGGUGUUAGGGCACGACACCGGAGAGGGAGCCUGAGAAACGGCUACCACAUCCAAGGAUGGCAGCAGGCGCGCAAAUUACCCAAUCCCGACACGGGGAGGUAGUGACAAUAAAUAACAAUACGGGGUUCUUUAGGAUCUCGUAAUUGGAAUGAGUACAAUUUAAAUCUCUUAACGAGGAACAAUUGGAGGGCGAGUCUGGUGCCAGCAGCCGCGGUAAUUCCAGCUCCAAUAGCGUAUAUUAAAGUUGUUGCAGUUAAAAAGCUCGUAGUUGAAUUUCGGGGUUAGUAGGUUGGUCAUGCCUCUGGUAUGUACUGGUCUCACUGAUUCCUCCUUCCUGAUGAGCCGUAAUGCCAUUAAUUUGGUGUUGCGGGGAAUUUGGACUGUUACUUUGAAAAAAUUAGAGUGUUUANAGCAAGCUAACGCUUGAAUACAUUAGCAUGGAAUAAUGAAAUAGGACGUUCGAUCCUAUUUUGUUGGUUUCUAGGAUUGACGUAAUGAUUAAUAGGGAUAGUUGGGGGCAUUAGUAUUCAAUUGUCAGAGGUGAAAUUCUUGGAUUUAUUGAAGACUAACUACUGCGAAAGCAUUUGCCAAGGAUGUUUUCAUUAAUCAAGAACGAAAGUUAGGGGAUCGAAGACGAUCAGAUACCGUCGUAGUCUUAACCAUAAACUAUGCCGACUAGGGAUCGGAUGAUGUUAAUUUUUUAAUGACUCAUUCGGCGCCUUACGGGAAACC
rnacentral:rRNA from 1 species